AACGCACCUUGCGCCCCUUGGCUAUUCCGAGGGGCAUGCCUGUUUGAGUAUCAUGAACACCUCAACUCUCAUGGUUUGCCAUGAUGAGCUUGGAUUUUGGGGGUUUUGCUGGCCUGUGGUCAGCUCCUCUCAAAUGGAUCAGCUUACCAGUAUUUGGUGGCGUCACAGGUGUGAUAACUAUCUACGCUUGUGGUUGUCUGCUGAGUAACCUUUGGUGACAGAGGUUCGCUGGAGCUUAUAAAUGUCUCUCCUCAGUGAAGACAGCUUUUUGACCGUUCGAUCUCAAAUCAGGUAGGACUACCCGCUGAACUUAA
rnacentral:misc_RNA from 1 species